AACUUGGGGCCCUUUAGUUUCGCAUCUGGACCUUCGAUAUUCACAUCAGGAACAUCAACGUCCACUUUGGGUCCUGAGACAUCAAUGUCAGCCUUGGGCAGGUUCACAUCCACAUCUGGGCCCUCUCCUUUGAAGCCAGGCAUGCUGAACUUGGGCAUUUUCACUUUGGGCAUUUUUAAGUGCCAGUCUGGGCCUUGAACGUCCACAUCUGGGUCCUGAGACGUCAAGGUCAGCCUUGGGCAGGUUCACAUCCACAUCUGGGCCCUCUCCUUUGAAGCCAGGCAUGCUGAACUUGGGCAUUUUCACCUUGGGCAUCUUCAGGUGCCAGUCUGGACCCUGAACAUUAACAUCUGGGACAUCAAUGUCCACUUUGGGGCCUUUGAGUUCUCCUUCCAGCUUUGGUACAGUUACAUCAUACUCUCCCUUCACCUUUGUACCUUUCACGUGCAAAUCUACAUCAGGCAUG
rnacentral:lncRNA from 1 species